UUCUUCUUCAAAACGUUUUCCAUCCUUCCAAUGGCAUUCUUUAAUCAAUUUUGUCUCCACCAUCUCAGAUUCCCCUCCUUCCGCUUCUUCCCCUUUUCUGGUUCAAUCGGGUUCCCUCUCCUUUUCACAUGCCGCUUGAGCUUCCGCUGCUUCAGGGACCUUCCCGACCAGGUAAAUUCCUUCAUUUCUUCUCAACGUUUCUUUCGCGAUGAUAUACGCAAGAUUAUUCGCUGAUCUUGGGACAUAUUCGAAACUGCACUCUUUUAAUUUUUACUGUAACUGAUGAAUAUCAUUGAUAUACGCACUUACCCAAGACUCAUCUGGGUUCUUUUUCUUGCAUUUUCGUAUUAUUGAUAAUGAAUCACCUUCUAAAAUAAUACUUUCCUAUUUCAUGCCAAUGCUUGUUUGGAGAGCUUUCCGACAUGCUACUGCUUCUGCCGCAAAAACUGAAGUUAUUCGGUGAUGUAUCCGAGCAUGAAAGGAAAACUGAGCCCUCACUAUCUCUGGCUACUAUUCCCACUGCCAAUCUAUUUUGUCUUCCAUCAUAUACUGCAUCAAAGUUGAUCUUAAUCAUCUGGUCAGAUUUGCUCCCUGUCUUAUGUACCCUAGCAUUUCUAUCUCCACAGAUAGCCCAUAAAGCACAGUAAAAUAUUCUACAUUGGGAAGUCGAGCUCUGCGAAAAUACCCAGGACACUUCCAGAAGAGAUGAUCCGUAUUCUCAGGCCCUAAGCCACACCGGGGACACACUGUUGUAUUCGCUAGCUUUUUAAAUACCAAAUUAACUCGUGUAGCUAGGAAAUUCCAUGAGAUCUUCCACACUGUUAUUUUAAUCUUGGAAGGUAUAUCCAGUAGCCAUAGUCUAUUGUAAAAGUCCUUAUAGUCGUUUUGUAAAGCAAAAGCUCUAAGGUUAUCUUCAGUACCUUGUAAUAGUUUAUAGGCACUGCGUACUGUAAACUCGCCUGACGCCUCAGCACGCCAGACUUGGGAAUCAUCAUGUGGUACCUCCGCCAACAGAAUACUCAGAAUCUUCUCGGCGACAUUCUCCGGAAAGAUAGUUUUUAUUAACUCCUUCUUCC